UACGUAGGGGGCUAGCGUUGUCCGGAUUUAUUGGGCGUAAAGAGCGUGUAGGCGGCCAGAUAGGUCUGCUGUGAAAACUCGAGGCUCAACCUCGAGAUGUCGGCGGAAACCAUUUGGCUAGAGUCCGGAAGAGGAAAGUGGAAUUCCUGGUGUAGCGGUGAAAUGCGCAGAUAUUCGCAAGAACACCAGUGGCGAAGGCGGCUCACUGGCCCGGUACUGACGCUGAGGUGCGAAAGCGUGGGGAGCAAACAGG
rnacentral:rRNA from 1 species